UACGAAGGGGGCUAGCGUUGUUCGGAAUCACUGGGCGUAAAGCGCACGUAGGCGGAUCUUUAAGUCAGGGGUGAAAUCCCGAGGCUCAACCUCGGAACUGCCUUUGAUACUGGGGAUCUCGAGUCCGGGAGAGGUGAGUGGAACUGCGAGUGUAGAGGUGAAAUUCGUAGAUAUUCGCAAGAACACCAGUGGCGAAGGCGGCUCACUGGCCCGGAACUGACGCUGAGGUGCGAAAGCGUGGGAGCAAACAGG
rnacentral:rRNA from 1 species